UUAAUUGAAGAGUUUGAUCAUGGCUCAGAUUGAACGCUGGCGGCAGGCCUAACACAUGCAAGUCGAGCGGUAACAGGGGGAGCUUGCUUCUCGCUGACGAGCGGCGGACGGGUGAGUAAUGUAUGGGGAUCUGCCCGAUAGAGGGGGAUAACCACUGGAAACGGUGGCUAAUACCGCAUAAUCUCUUAGGAGCAAAGCAGGGGAACU
rnacentral:rRNA from 1 species